AUCUCUCAUAUUAAAUAGCUUCCAAGAGAAUCUGGAUCUGCUCCUCACACUAAUGUCACAACUUGUCUCAACCACACAAUGAGAACAUCUCUCAUACUUGUAUGUUAGUAUUCACAGGAGAUGUUUCCCAAUACACAGUGGUAUGUAGUUGUGAGGAAACCACUUGGGCACUAGAGAGGGUGAGCACCCUAUCGCACCACGAGGUGUUGUUGGCAAGUCAGGUUCUUUAAGAAUUCAGUUCUACUCGAGUGGUAAAUUUCAUCCACAGCUAAAUACUGACAGGAAAUUAAUAGGGAACAAGUACCAUGAGACAAAGAUGAAAAUGACUUUGAAAAGAGAUUCAAAGAGUGCUUGAAUUUGUCAAGAGAGAAGCAGAUGGGGGUUGGUAAUGCCCCCUAGUCGUCUGAGGAACAACGA
rnacentral:ncRNA from 1 species